rnacentral:rRNA from 1 species
GACGAACGCUGGCGGCGUGCUUAACACAUGCAAGUCGAACGGAAAGGCCCUGCUUUUGUGGGGUGCUCGAGUGGCGAACGGGUGAGUAACACGUGAGUAACCUGCCCUUGACUUUGGGAUAACUUCAGGAAACUGGGGCUAAUACCGGAUAGGAGCUCCUGCUGCAUGGUGGGGGUUGGAAAGUUUCGGCGGUUGGGGAUGGACUCGCGGCUUAUCAGCUUGUUGGUGGGGUAGUGGCUUACCAAGGCUUUGACGGGUAGCCGGCCUGAGAGGGUGACCGGCCACAUUGGGACUGAGAUACGGCCCAGACUCCUACGGGAGGCAGCAGUGGGGAUAUUGCACAAUGGGCGGAAGCCUGAUGCAGCAACGCCGCGUGCGGGAUGACGGCCUUCGGGUUGUAAACCGCUUUCGCCUGUGACGAAGCGUGAGUGACGGUAAUGGGUAAAGAAGCACCGGCUAACUACGUGC